rnacentral:rRNA from 1 species
AGGGCACCACCAGGAGUGGAGCCUGCGGCUUAAUUUGACUCAACACGGGAAAUCUCACCAGGCCCGGACACCGGAAGGAUUGACAGAUUGAGAGCUCUUUCUUGAUUCGGUGGGUGGUGGUGCAUGGCCGUUCUUAGUUGGUGGAGCGAUUUGUCUGGUUAAUUCCGAUAACGAACGAGACUCUGGCCUACUAACUAGACGUUAGAUCCCUUUGUGGGUCUAUCGCAGCUUCUUAGGGGGACGGGCGGCGUUUAGCCGCACGAGAUUGAGCAAUAACAGGUCUGUGAUGCCCUUAGAUGUUCUAGGCUGCACGCGCGCUACACUGAAGGAAUCAGCGUGUGUUCCCUGUCCGAAAGGACUGGGAAACCCGUUGAACCUCCUUCGUGAUGGGGAUUGGGGAUUGCAAUUAUUCCCCAUGAACGAGGAAUUCCCAGUAGGCGCGAGUCAUAAGCUUGCGUCGAUUACGUCCCUGCCCUUUGUACACACCGCCCGUCGCUACUACCGAUCGAGUGAUUUAGU